GUCACUGCCUGAUGCUGAGCAGUCUUGAAAAGAAUAGACCUGUUUUGUGAAUUAUGGACUGUACUUCACUUUUGGUCACUCUCCUAGCUCUCUGCUCAGGGGCCAUUUCCCAGGCUGUUGUAACUCAGGAAUCUGCCCUCACCACAUCACCAGGUGGAACAGUCACACUCACUUGUGGAUCAAGUACUGGGGCUGUUACAACCAGUAACUAUGCCAAUUGGGUCCAAGAAAAACCAGAUCAUUUAUUCACUGGUAUAAUAGGCAGUACCAGCUACAGAGCUCCAGGUGUUCCUGCCAGAUUCACUGGGUCCCUGAUUGGAGACAAGGCUGCCCUUACCAUCACAGGGGCACAGGCUGAGGAUGAGGCAAUGUAUUUCUGUGCUCUCUGGUACAGCAACCAUUUUAUUUUCGGCGGUGGAACCAAGCUCACUGUCCUAGGUCAGCCCAAGUCCCCUCCCACACUCACAGUGUUUCCACCUUCCUCUGAGGAGCUCCAGGAAAACAAAGCCACACUGGUGUGUCUGAUUUCCAAUUUCUACCCAAGUGUUGUGAAAGUGGCCUGGAAGGCAGAUGGUACACCUAUCACCCAGGGUGUGGACACUGCAAAUCCCACCAAAGAGGGCAACAAGUACAUAGCCAGCAGCUUCUUACGUUUGACACCAGACCAGUGGAGAUCUCACAACAGAUAUACCUGCCAAGUUACACAUGAAGGGGAUAUUGUGGAGAAGAGUCUGUCUCCUGCAGAAUGUCUGUAGACGCCCAGGUUUCUCCUUAGCCUGGGAACCCUGCAGCUCUAGGACCCUGAGUGGGGUCUCUUUUCUAUACUAGCCAUCUUAACCUUUCUCUCUUGCCCACUGACUAUUAAAUAAAAUAUCAUUAAUUAAUCAGAAGUA